rnacentral:rRNA from 1 species
AUUGAACGCUGGCGGCAGGCUUAACACAUGCAAGUCGAGCGGGGUGAUGGUGCUUGCACUAUCACUUAGCGGCGGACGGGUGAGUAAUGCUUAGGAAUCUGCCUAUUAGUGGGGGACAACAUCUCGAAAGGGAUGCUAAUACCGCAUACGUCCUACGGGAGAAAGCAGGGGAUCACUUGUGACCUUGCGCUAAUAGAUGAGCCUAAGUCGGAUUAGCUAGUUGGUGGGGUAAAGGCCUACCCAGGCGACGAUCUGUAGCGGGUCUGAGAGGAUGAUCCGCAACACUGGGACUGGGACACGGCCCAGACUCCUACGGGAGGCAGCAGUGGGGAAUAUUGGACAAUGGGGGGAACCCUGAUCCAGCCAUGCCGCGUGUGUGAAGAAGGCCUUAUGGUUGUAAAGCACUUUAAGCGAGGAGGAGGCUCUUUUGGUUAAUACCCAAGAUGAGUGGACGUUACUCGCAGAAUAAGCACCGGCUAACUCUGUGCCAGCCGCCGCGGUAA